GCGCCCGUAGCUCAGUCGGAUAGAGUACCUGGCUUCGAACCAGGUGGUCGGGGGUUCGAAUCCCUCCGGGCGCGCCA
rnacentral:tRNA from 1 species